GGGGCUGCUUUGGUUUCGACAUUUAAGAUUGAUUAAUAUAUGAAUCAGGUCGAAGCGUACAUUCUUCGUAAAAAUCUGUACAACUUAAAUUAACUGCUAUUAACACUAUU
rnacentral:sRNA from 1 species